AAGGUCCCGCCUGCCCAGUGAAACUUUCAACGGCCGCGGUCCCUAACCGUGCAAAGGUAGCGCAAUCACCUGUCCCUUAAUUGAAGACUAGUAUGAACGGCUAAAUGAGGGCUCGACUGUCUCCUGAGAUCAAUCAAUGAAAUUGACCCCACAGUACAAACGCUGUGAUAUAUACAUAAGACGAAAAGACCCUAUGGAGCUUUAAACCCCUGUACUACCGGAAGACCUAAACUCACCCCGCCCUAGUACACAUUUUUAGUUGGGGCAACUACGGAGCAAAAUAAAAACUCCAUGACAGACACAUAACAAGCGCACAACCCCAGGCCGCCACGCCACACUAAUAUACGACCCAGUAUAACUGACCAUCGAACCAAGUUACCCUAGGGAUAACAGCGCCAUCUUCCCCCAAGAGCCCUUAUCAACGGGGAGGCUUACGACCUCGAUGUUGGAUCAGGACCCCCCGGCGGUGCAGCCGCUGCCAAAGGUUCGUUUGUUCAACGACUAAUGUCCU
rnacentral:rRNA from 1 species